rnacentral:rRNA from 1 species
GACGAACGCUGGCGGCGUGCCUAAUACAUGCAAGUAGAACGCACAGUUUAUACCGUAGCUUGCUACACCAUAGACUGUGAGUUGCGAACGGGUGAGUAACGCGUAGGUAACCUGCCUGGUAGCGGGGGAUAACUAUUGGAAACGAUAGCUAAUACCGCAUAAUAUUGAUUAUUGCAUGAUAAUUGAUUGAAAGAUGCUAUUGCAUCACUACCAGAUGGACCUGCGUUGUAUUAGCUAGUAGGUGAGGUAACGGCUCACCUAGGCGACGAUACAUAGCCGACCUGAGAGGGUGAUCGGCCACACUGGGACUGAGACACGGCCCAGACUCCUACGGGCGGCAGCAGUAGGGAAUCUUCGGCAAUGGACGAAAGUCUGACCGAGCAACGCCGCGUGAGUGAAGAAGGUUUUCGGAUCGGAAAGCUCUGUUGUAAGAGAAGAACGGGUGUGAGAGUGGAAAGUUCACACUGUGACGGUAUCUUACCAGAAAGGGACGGCUAACUACGUG